rnacentral:rRNA from 1 species
UACGUAGGGUGCGAGCGUUGUCCGGAAUUAUUGGGCGUAAAGGGCUCGUAGGCGGUUUGUCGCGUCGGGAGUGAAAACUCAGGGCUUAACCCUGAGCCUGCUUCCGAUACGGGCAGACUAGAGGUAUGCAGGGGAGAACGGAAUUCCUGGUGUAGCGGUGAAAUGCGCAGAUAUCAGGAGGAACACCGGUGGCGAAGGCGGUUCUCCUGGGCGAUUACCUGACGCUGGAGGAGC